ACGUAGGGUGCGAGCGUUAUCCGGAAUUAUUGGGCGUAAAGAGCUAGUAGGCGGUUUGUCGCGUCUGUCGUGAAAGUCCGGGGCUUAACCCCGGAUCUGCGGUGGGUACGGGCAGACUAGAGUGCAGUAGGGGAGACUGGAAUUCCUGGUGUAGCGGUGUAAUGCGCAGAUAUCAGGAGGAACACCGAUGGCGAAGGCAGGUCUCUGGGCUGUAACUGACACUGAGGAUCGAAAGCAUGGGGAACGAACAG
rnacentral:rRNA from 1 species